UAGGGAAUUGUUCGCAAUGGGCGCAAGCCUGACGACGCAACGCCGCGUGGAGGAUGAAGACCUUCGGGUCGUAAACUCCUUUCGACCGAGAUGAAUACUCGCCGACCUAACACGUCGGCGAGCUGACAGUAUCGAGGGAAGAAGCCCCGGCUAACUCCGUGCCAGCAGCCGCGGUAAUACGGGGGGGGCAAGCGUUGUUCGGAAUUACUGGGCGUAAAGGGUUCGUAGGUGGCCUGCUAAGUCAGACGUGAAAUCCCUCAGCUUAACUGGGGAACUGCGUCUGAGACUGGCGGGCUUGAGUGCAGGAGAGGAACGCGGAAUUCCAGGUGUAGCGGUGAAAUGCGUAGAUAUCUGGAGGAACACCGGGUGGCGAAGGCGGCGUUCUGGACUGCUACUGACACUGAGGAACGAAAGGCCAGGGGGAGCAAACGGGAUUAGAUACCCCGGUAGUCCUGGCCCUAAACGAUGAAUGCUUGGUGUGGCGGGUAUCGAUCCCUG
rnacentral:rRNA from 1 species